AGGACGAACGCUGGCGGCGUGCUUAACACAUGCAAGUCGAGCGGAAAGGCCCUUCGGGGUACUCGAGCGGCGAACGGGUGAGUAACACGUGAGCAACCUGCCCUUAGCUUCGGGAUAGCUCCGGGAAACCGGAAUUAAUACCGAAUAUGAUUUUUGCUGACAUCAGCAGAAGUGGAAAGUUUUUCGGCUAGGGAUGGACUCGCGGCCUAUCAGCUAGUUGGUGAGGUAACGGCCCACCAAGGCGACGACGGGUAGCCGGCCUGAGAGGGCGACCGGCCACACUGGGACUGAGACACGGCCCAGACUCCUACGGGAGGCAGCAGUGGGGAAUAUUGCGCAAUGGGCGAAAGCCUGACGCAGCGACGCCGCGUGGGGGAUGAAGCCCCUUGGGGUGUAAACUCCUUUCGACCAAGACGAUAAUGACGGUACUGGUGGAAGAAGCACCGGCUAACUCUGUGCCAGCAGCCGC
rnacentral:rRNA from 1 species